AUUGAACGCUGGCGGCAUGCUUUACACAUGCAAGUCGAACGGCAGCGCGGGCUUCGGCCUGGCGGCGAGUGGCGGACGGGUGAGUAAUACAUCGGAACGUGCCCAGUAGUGGGGGAUAGCUCGGCGAAAGCCGGAUUAAUACCGCAUACGACCUGAGGGUGAAAGCGGGGGAUCUUCGGACCUCGCGCUAUUGGAGCGGCCGAUUGCAGAUUGGCUAGUUGGUGGGGUAAAGGCCUACCAAGGCGACGAUCUGUAGCUGGUCUGAGAGGACGACCAGCCACACUGGGACUGAGACACGGCCCAGACUCCUACGGGAGGCAGCAGUGGGGAAUUUUGGACAAUGGGCGAAAGCCUGAUCCAGCAAUGCCGCGUGUGUGAUGAAGGCCUUCGGGUUGUAAAGUACUUUUGGCGGGAACGAAAAGGACUGUGCCAAUACCACGGUUCGAUGACGGUACCCGCAGAAUAAGCACCGGCUAACUACGUG
rnacentral:rRNA from 1 species